UACGUAGGUGGCAAGCGUUGUCCGGAUUUACUGGGCGUAAAGAGCGCGCAGGCGGUUAUUCAAGUCGAAUGUGAAAAGCCCCCGGCUUAACUGGGGGAGGGUCAUUCGAUACUGUUUAACUUGAAGGCAGGAGAGGGUAGUGGAAUUCCCGGUGUAGUGGUGAAAUGCGUAGAUAUCGGGAGGAACACCAGUGGCGAAGGCGACUACCUGGCCUGUUCUUGACGCUGAGGCGCGAAAGCGUGGGGAGCGAACAGG
rnacentral:rRNA from 1 species